UUUUAUGGAGAGUUUGAUCCUGGCUCAGGAUGAACGCUGGCGGCGUGCCUAAUACAUGCAAGUCGAGCGAACGGACGAGAAGCUUGCUUCUCUGAUGUUAGCGGCGGACGGGUGAGUAACACGUGGAUAACCUACCUAUAAGACUGGGAUAACUUCGGGAAACCGGAGCUAAUACCGGAUAAUAUUUUGAACCGCAUGGUUCAAAAGUGAAAGACGGUCUUGCUGUCACUUAUAGAUGGAUCCGCGCUGCAUUAGCUAGUUGGUAAGGUAACGGCUUACCAAGGCAACGAUGCAUAGCCGACCUGAGAGGGUGAUCGGCCACACUGGAACUGAGACACGGUCCAGACUCCUACGGGAGGCAGCAGUAGGGAAUCUUCCGCAAUGGGCGAAAGCCUGACGGAGCAACGCCGCGUGAGUGAUGAAGGUCUUCGGAUCGUAAAACUCUGUUAUUAGGGAAGAACAUAUGUGUAAGUAACUGUGCACAUCUUGACGGUACCUAAUCAGAAAGCCACGGCUAACUACGUGCCAGCAGCCGCGGUAAUACGUAGGUGGCAAGCGUUAUCCGGAAUUAUUGGGCGUAAAGCGCGCGUAGGCGGUUUUUUAAGUCUGAUGUGAAAGCCCACGGCUCAACCGUGGAGGGUCAUUGGAAACUGGAAAACUUGAGUGCGGAAGAGGAAAGUGGAAUUCCAUGUGUAGCGGUGAAAUGCGCAGAGAUAUGGAGGAACACCAGUGGCGAAGGCGACUUUCUGGUCUGUAACUGACGCUGAUGUGCGAAAGCGUGGGGAUCAAACAGGAUUAGAUACCCUGGUAGUCCACGCCGUAAACGAUGAGUGCUAAGUGUUAGGGGGUUUCCGCCCCUUAGUGCUGCAGCUAACGCAUUAAGCACUCCGCCUGGGGAGUACGACCGCAAGGUUGAAACUCAAAGGAAUUGACGGGGACCCGCACAAGCGGUGGAGCAUGUGGUUUAAUUCGAAGCAACGCGAAGAACCUUACCAAAUCUUGACAUCCUUUGACAACUCUAGAGAUAGAGCCUUCCCCUUCGGGGGACAAAGUGACAGGUGGUGCAUGGUUGUCGUCAGCUCGUGUCGUGAGAUGUCGGGUUAAGUCCCGCAACGAGCGCAACCCUUAAGCUUAGUUGCCAUCAUUAAGUUGGGCACUCUAAGUUGACUGCCGGUGACAAACCGGAGGAAGGUGGGGAUGACGUCAAAUCAUCAUGCCCCUUAUGAUUUGGGCUACACACGUGCUACAAUGGACAAUACAAAGGGCAGCGAAACCGCGAGGUCAAGCAAAUCCCAUAAAGUUGUUCUCAGUUCGGAUUGUAGUCUGCAACUCGACUACAUGAAGCUGGAAUCGCUAGUAAUCGUAGAUCAGCAUGCUACGGUGAAUACGUUCCCGGGUCUUGUACACACCGCCCGUCACACCACGAGAGUUUGUAACACCCGAAGCCGGUGGAGUAACCUUUUAGGAGCUAGCCGUCGAAGGUGGGACAAAUGAUUGGGGUGAAGUCGUAACAAGGUAGCCGUAUCGGAAGGUGCGGCUGGAUCACCUCCUUUCUAA
rnacentral:rRNA from 1 species